rnacentral:rRNA from 1 species
AUUGAACGCUGGCGGCACGCCUAACACAUGCAAGUCGAGCGGUAGCAGGACCUGUAGCAAUACAGGUUGCUGACGAGCGGCGGACGGGUGAGGAAUACGUAGGAACCUGCCUUAUAGUGGGGGAUAACUAAGGGAAACUUUAGCUAAUACCGCAUAAUCUCGAGAGAGGAAAGCUACAGCAAGGUGGCGCUAAAAGAGGGGCCUGCGUCCGAUUAGCUAGUUGGUGAGGUAAGAGCUCACCAAGGCGAUGAUCGGUAACUGGUCUGAGAGGGCGACCAGUCACACUGGGACUGAGACACGGCCCAGACUCCUACGGGAGGCAGCAGUGGGGAAUAUUGGACAAUGGGGGCAACCCUGAUCCAGCGAUGCCGCGUGAGUGAAGAAGGCCUUCGGGUCGUAAAGCUCUUUAGGUUGGGAAGAAGGGUGUUAGAGGAAAUGCUAAUGCUUUGACGGUACCGACAGAAUAAGCACCGGCAAACUCUGUGCCAGCAGCCGCGGUAA